rnacentral:rRNA from 1 species
GGGGAAUUUUGGACAAUGGGGGCAACCCUGAUCCAGCCAUGCCGCGUGAGUGAAGAAGGCCUUCGGGUUGUAAAGCUCUUUCGGCCGGGAAGAAAUCGUGCAGGCUAAUACCCUGUAUGGAUGACGGUACCGGAAUAAGAAGCACCGGCUAACUACGUGCCAGCAGCCGCGGUAAUACGUAGGGUGCGAGCGUUAAUCGGAAUUACUGGGCGUAAAGCGUGCGCAGGCGGUUUUGAAGACAGGCGUGAAAUCCCCGGGCUCAACCUGGGAACUGCGCUUGUGACUGCAAGACUAGAGUACGGCAGAGGGGGGUAGAAUUCCACGUGUAGCAGUGAAAUGCGUAGAGAUGUGGAGGAAUACCGAUGGCGAAGGCAGCCCCCUGGGUUAGUACUGACGCUCAUGCACGAAAGCGUGGGGAGCAAACA